rnacentral:rRNA from 1 species
UACAGGGGGGGCAAGCGUUGUUCGGAAUUACUGGGCGUAAAGGGCUCGUAGGCGGCCAACUAAGUCCGACGUGAAAUCCCAAAGCUUAACUUUGGAACUGCGUCGGAUACUGGAUGGCUUGAAUUCGGGAGAGGGAUGCAGAAUUCCAGGUGUAGCGGUGAAAUGCGUAGAUAUCUGGAGGAAUACCGGUGGCGAAGGCGGCAUCCUGGACCGACAUUGACGCUGAGACGCGAAAGCGUGGGGAGCAAACAGG